rnacentral:rRNA from 1 species
UACGUAGGGGGCAAGCGUUAUCCGGAUUUACUGGGUGUAAAGGGAGCGCAGACGGCCUGACAAGUCUGGAGUGAAAACCCAAGGCCCAACCAUGGGAUUGCUUUGGAAACUGUCUGGCUUGAGUACCGGAGGGGUAAGCGGAAUUCCUAGUGUAGCGGUGAAAUGCGUAGAUAUUAGGAAGAACACCGGUGGCGAAGGCGGCUUACUGGACGGUAACUGACGUUGAGGCUCGAAAGCGUGGGGAG